rnacentral:lncRNA from 1 species
CAGCUACUGAAUAAUGGGAUGAUUUUGAUAUAACAAAUGAGAAGAGAGAACACAAUCACACAACAUGAGAAUUACAUGGUUUCCCAUCAGUGUAUUGAGUAUAUCCAUAGAUGAAUACCACAACAAUCUUAGUCGCCACAAACUUGGUCAGUAAACCCACCACAAUGAGAAAUCAUCAGGUAAAGAUUUCCAGAAGGUAUGAUUUCUGUUGUUGUAUUUCAAGGUAAGCAGCUAGGGAUUAUACACAGGCACUGCACUCAUUAAGGAGCAGAUUAGGCACUACAAGUCAGGGACCACCUCACCACUCAACUACUAUAAUUGGACCUAUACUACUUAAACUAAGGCUAGAUACACUUGAGUAAUCAGGACAGCUAACAAAUUCUAAGCACAUAUGAUAAUUCUACAUUAGGCAUUCAUGAAAUCAGCAGGGAGAACUUGAAAGCAAUUCGUUGGUAGUUUUAUCCAUGAUUUAAAUGCAAACCACAUUGUCUGGACUUGAGUUCCUAAGCAAACCCUUAAAUCAAACCCUAGGGAAUCCGAGCUUAUCGCUUCUGCUUCCUACAAUACAUCACCAAUAAAGGUAGUUAGUCAUGUAGUCGACAAAUUUACAAAGAAGGGACCAUGUGACGACCUCGUAUAAAGGACUGAUUUAUGCAACACCUAGAGACUUUGGCCUACAGAAAUUCCAGAUUCUAUGGUUAACACCCUCUAAUCUAUUCACCAUAAAAAAUUUAGCUAAGACAAAUAACUGUCAGAAGUCUCGUCCUGUUUUAACAGAAAAUUAGGCAAGGGGCAAGGUUAUCCAACCUUAAAGAUAUCUGUUUAUAUACAUGGACAAAAUGCAUACAUACAACCUUGAAUCUUGGUUCUUAGAGCUUAAUGACCUUGCUUCCUUACAAUUGACAGAUGGCAGUCCCUAUUAUCAAUAUGUUCAAUCAGCUAGCCAAAUGCAACACAAUUUAUUUAACCAAAACAUAAUCUAUUCAGUAGUCACCACCCCGGUAGCUACCACCAUCUCUGCCACUAAGGAUCCCGAGUCAAUCAGACUGAACUUUGAGAAAUGGAUUGGAAUUUUGGAAAUAAAGAGGAAAACUGAACAAGCGGGUACCUAGAAAAGCAACGUAGCCAUUCAAAGCAGGUGGCGAACAUUGAAUCAUUGUUGCAAAACAUAUUCCUAUUUGAGAAUUGUUGGCACCAAGAUAACGCAACUCAAACCUUGCUGCUCUCUUCCAUGAUUUGAGACUUCCAGCUUGGUUGCUGUCCAAGUAGAAACGCCCACAUCCUGUGAAUUUACUGCAAGUCCAUCUGAAAAUCAUACGUAUUAAGAGCAAAAACAACCAUUAAUGAUGCUUCCAGCCAUAUAAAUGGAAGGAAAUAGAUUAAUGUAUCAAGCGGGUGAAGAAAUAGUAAAACAUUCACCAUUAAAACAAAAACCUAAAACACAUCAACAAUUUUGUCAGCAACACUUCAACAAGAAUCCACACCCAAAUUCAGAGUAAAAUUAGCUUCCUGAAAGGUGAUCCUUUUAAUCCCAUCCCAAACAAGUGUUCCAUAACACCGUUAUGGAUGCGAGCAGCUGAACUACUCCAAACUGUUUUCCUUCUCCACUACCAUUUGAUAUAAUUAUCCAGACUACUUUCAUUAUCGUAUAAAUAUAUACAUCUUCUUCCUAUGAGUUUCGUCCCUAAACUAGCAAUUUGUAUCUCGUGCAUAAGACUCGAGGGAAAAUGAUGUUUAGAACGUACCCCUUGUCGAGCUAACUGAUACAAAAACUUCUUCUACGAAGAGCAUGUCGUGCCCCUUGUUCUCCACGAAUCUUUCUGUUGGACUGGAAGUUGUCCCAGGGGCUGGAAAGCUGAUUUCUUUCAAUUCAUCAAUGUUCCAGCGAUUGAAAUAAUUAUGCAGGGAAAUAAUCAAACAAUAAAGGUGUCCCUAAACCCGCCCAUUGUCAAGACUAGUUAUGUCAGAUUUUUCACCAAUAAAGCAUUGAACUUAGACCUAAAUAACUAUUAGCUUCAAUAACGUUCACAAACCAACAGCAUCACAUACAGACGGACCAUAAAAGUUCUCCACAUAGUUGAAAGAUUAUAGGGUACCUUUAUGCUGGCAAUGAAUUUGCUAUGGGGACUGACACUAUUGAAUUUGCUAUGCGGCUGAUCACCAUACAACGAAUAGAAGGAUUAGCUGACGAUUUACUUUGACUAUAGCACCGGCCAGCACUUGCUGAUUCACUGUUGCAGUAUUAGCUUCAAUGUUCACAAAUUGCCAAUGAAUUUGGGUCCGUAAUUCUAUGGAAACUAAUGCCAUGUACAAAAAGAUAAUCAUACCUCACGAUUUCAUAACUAAAUCUCCUCUAGUGAAGAUUUCGAGAUCAUUGUUGUUUGUCUAGCAGGAUCCGGUCGCUGUGUUGGCGGCUGACAAGAUUCCCGAGUUUCUCACCCAAACUAGAGCGGAAAGCUACGGGUGCCGAUUUUCUUUUUCCCGUUAUUUUCUAAUAUAAAAAUAAAAUAAAAAUACGGUCAAAAUAUCACAGAAAAGUCAAUAUGUCGGGUAAUUAUCGCGAAAUAUCAUCGCACGAGACAUAUCGUCAAAUUCUCUUUCUCGGCAAUUUCUCGCGUUUCGAUUUUGGUUUGAAAAACCGAAACUUUUCGCGUUUCAACAUGCGUUUCGGCGUGUAUUUUGGUUUCCGAGGAUUUUCAGAUUAACCGAGUCGUCUGCGGCGGCGUUUCGAUUUCGUUUCCGAGAACCUGAAACGUUUCGGCGCAUAUCAGGGAGUUUCGGCUAUUAUAUCCAUUUUCCCCUUUUCUUGAUAUUUGUUUCCCCGAUUUCCAACUUCUUGUGGCUGCGCUGCUCCCAUGACUCUCCCAAUUUCGUAAGUUCCUCCACUUUUACUGUUGGCUUUUUGUUAUCUUUGUGAAUUGAUUUGUUCUCCUGUGUAUCUAUCAGUUUGGG